rnacentral:tRNA from 1 species
GGAGAGGUGGCAGAGUGGUCGAAUGCGCGCGCUUGGAAAGCGCGUAUACCGCAAGGUAUCGGGGGUUCGAAUCCCCCCUCUCCGCCA